rnacentral:rRNA from 1 species
UACGUAGGGUGCAAGCGUUAUCCGGAAUUAUUGGGCGUAAAGAGCUCGUAGGCGGUUUGUCGCGUCUGCUGUGAAAACUGGAGGCUCAACCUCCAGCCUGCAGUGGGUACGGGCAAACUAGAGUGCGGUAGGGGAGAUUGGAAUUCCUGGUGUAGCGGUGAAAUGCGCAGAUAUCAGGAGGAACACCGGUGGCGAAGGCGGGUCUCUGGGCCGUAACUGACGCUGAGGAGCGAAAGCGUGGGGAGC